GGAGGGGGGGUUAGCGUUGUUCGGAAUUACUGGGCGUAAAGCGCACGUAGGCGGGACCAGAAAGUUGGGGGGUGAAAUCCCGGGGGGCUCAACCCCGGGAACUGCCUCCAAAACUAUUGGUCUAGAGUUCGAGAGAGGUGAGUGGAAUUCCGAGUGUAGAGGUGAAAUUCGUAGAUAUUCGGAGGAACACCAGUGGCGAAGGCGGCUCACUGGCUCGAUACUGACGCUGAGGUGCGAAAGUGUGGGGAGCAAACAGGAUUAGAUACCCUGGUAGUCCACACCGUAAACGAUGAAUGCCAGUCGUCGGGUUGCAUGCAAUUCGGUGACACACCUAACGGAUUAAGCAUUCCGCCUGGGGAGUACGGUCGCAAAGAUUAA
rnacentral:rRNA from 1 species